CUCGUGUCGAAAAACUAAAACCAUAGUCGCAUAGUACAAGUUUUCCUAUUUCGUGGUAAAAAUCGGUUUCCUCACUAGGGUAGUUUUCAACUGAGCAAGACAAUCGAAUUGCGGGGGUUAUCUGCACGUACCUUUAACUACAUCCUUACCUCUCUUAUAGGCCUACAUCAACCCGAAUCCGGGACAAUCAAAAACCCGCAGUGCGCAUGCGCUAUAACAGUUCCGUCCAUCGCGAUUGGAUAACAGGGCCGUUAAUU